CCUACGGGAGGCAGCAGUGAGGAAUAUUGGGCAAUGGGCGCAAGCCUGACCCAGCAACGCCGCGUGAAGGAAGAAGGCUUUCGGGUUGUAAACUUCUUUUGUCAGGGACGAAGCAAGUGACGGUACCUGACGAAUAAGCCACGGCUAACUACGUGCCAGCAGCCGCGGUAAUACGUAGGUGGCAAGCGUUAUCCGGAUUUACUGGGUGUAAAGGGCGUGUAGGCGGGACUGCAAGUCAGAUGUGAAAACCACGGGCUCAACCUGUGGCCUGCAUUUGAAACUGUAGUUCUUGAGUACUGGAGAGGCAGACGGAAUUCCUAGUGUAGCGGUGAAAUGCGUAGAUAUCACGAGGAACCCCGAUUGCGAAGGCAGCCUGCCGGGGUGCGACUGACGCUGAGGCUCGAAGGUGCGGGUAUCAAACAGGAUUAGAUACCCCAGUAGUC
rnacentral:rRNA from 1 species